AACGAACGCUGGCGGCAGGCUUAACACAUGCAAGUCGAACGCAUCGCAAGAUGAGUGGCAGACGGGUGAGUAACGCGUGGGAACAUACCCUUUUCUACGGAAUAGCUCUGGGAAACUGGAAUUAAUACCGUAUACGCCCUACGGGGGAAAGAUUUAUCGGGGAAGGAUUGACCCGCGUUGGAUUAGCUAGUUGGUGGGGUAAAGGCCUACCAAGGCGACGAUCCAUAGCUGGUCUGAGAGGAUGAUCAGCCACAUUGGGACUGAGACACGGCCCAAACUCCUACGGGAGGCAGCAGUGGGGAAUAUUGGACAAUGGGCGCAAGCCUGAUCCAGCCAUGCCGCGUGAGUGAUGAAGGCCUUAGGGUUGUAAAGCUCUUUCACCGAUGAAGAUAAUGACGGUAGUCGGAGAAGAAGCCCCGGCUAACUUCGUGCCAGCCGCCGCGGUAAUAC
rnacentral:rRNA from 1 species